rnacentral:rRNA from 1 species
GACGAACGCUGGCGGCGUGCUUAACACAUGCAAGUCGAACGGAAAGGCCUGCUUUCCCUUGUGGAUUGCGGGUGCUCGAGUGGCGAACGGGUGAGUAACACGUGAGUGAUCUGCCCCCAACUUGGGUAUAAGCCUGGGAAACUGGGUCUAAUUCCCGAUAGGACUGCAGGGUGGUGCCUGUGGUGGAAAACGAUUUUCUAGUGGUUGGGGAUGAGCUCGCGGCCUAUCAGCUUGUUGGUGGGGUAAUGGCCUACCAAGGCGGCGACGGGUAGCCGGCCUGAGAGGGUUGACGGCGACAUUGGGACUGAUAUACGGCCCAGACUCCUACGGGAGGCAGCAGUUGGGAAUAUGGCACAAUGGGCGGAAGCCUGAUGCAGCGACGCCGCGUGGGGGAUGACGGCCUUCGGGUUGUAAACUCCUUUCGACCGCGAGGAAGCCACCUGGUCGGAAUGGUGGUGACGGUAGUGGUAGAAGAAGCACCGGCUAACUACGUG